rnacentral:rRNA from 1 species
GACGAACGCUGGCGGUAUGCCUAACACAUGCAAGUCGAACGGGCUUUUCGGAGCUAGUGGCGGACGGGUGAGUAACGCGUGAGAAUCUGCCUUCAGGAUGGGGAUAACAGGGAGAAAUCGCUGCUAAAACCCAAUGUGCCGAAAGGUGAAAUACUUGUAGCCAGAAGAGGAGCUCGCGUCCGAUUAGUUAGUUGGUGGGGUAAGAGCCUACCAAGGCAGCGAUCGGUAGCUGGUCUGAGAGGAUGAGCAGCCACACUGGGACUGAGACACGGCCCAGACUCCUACGGGGGGCAGCAGUGGGGAAUUUUCCGCAAUGGGCGAAAGCCUGACGGAGCAAUACCGCGUGAGGGAGGAAGGCUUUUGGGUUGUAAACCUCUUUUGUUAAGGAAGAAGAAAGUGACGGUACCCACAAAGGAAGCACCGGCUAACUCUGUGCCAGCCGCCGCCGUAA